rnacentral:tRNA from 1 species
GGGCCAUGGCUCAGUAGCAGAGCAUCUGCUUUGCAUGUAAAAGUUCCAGGUUCAAUCCUGGCAUCUCUA